rnacentral:tmRNA from 1 species
GGGGGCGACAGGCUUCGACCAGGUUGUCGAAGGUCAAGUUGCGUGUCGAGGUGCCGGGUGGCCUCGUUAAACCCCCGGAAAAAACGCAAUUGCCAAACCGCAACUUGCACUCGCAGCUUAAUUAAGCUGCCCUCCGCUGAGUCCCCGCCCACGGGACGAGGGUCGGAGGCAACAAGGUGGGCUGGCUCGGAUCCCGCGUCUCGGGGGAAAAGAGCGAGAAAAUUCUGAGGCUGUGCCACCAAGGACUGUGUUCUGCAGGGUUCGGGGGCGAGAUAAGUUCGCAGAACUACACACGUAGACGCUUGGUUGGAGAGGCCUUGGGACCCGGGUUCGAUUCCCGGCGCUUCCAUUU